rnacentral:rRNA from 1 species
UACAGAGGUCCCGAGCGUUGUUCGGAUUUAUUGGGCGUAAAGGGUGCGUAGGUGGCUAAGUAAGUUGGAUGUGAAAUCCUGGGGCUCAACCUCAGAAUUGCAUUCAAUACUGCUUAGCUAGAGAGCUGUAGAGGAGACUGGAAUUUACGGUGUAGCAGUGAAAUGCGCAGAUAUCGGGAGGAACACCAAUUGCGAAGGCAGCUCGCUGGGACGUUACUGACGCUGAGACGCGAAAGCGUGGGGAGCAAACAGG